rnacentral:rRNA from 1 species
AUUGAACGCUGGCGGCAGGCCUAACACAUGCAAGUCGAGCGAGCGGCGGACGGGUGAGUAAUGUCUGGGAAACUGCCUGAUGGAGGGGGAUAACUACUGGAAACGGUAGCUAAUACCGCAUACCAUCAGAUGUGCCCAGAUGGGAUUCGCUAGUAGGUGGGGUAAGGGCUCACCGAGGCGACGAUCCCUAGCUGGUCUGAGAGGAUGACCAGCCACACUGGAACUGAGACACGGUCCAGAAUCCUACGGGAGGCAGCAGUGGGGAAUAUUGCACAAUGGGCGCAAGCCUGAUGCAGCCAUGCCGCGUGUAUGAAGAUGGCCUUCGGGUUGUAAAGUACUUUCAGCGGGGAGGCGUUACCCGCAGAAGAAGCACCGGCUAACUCCGUGCCAGCAGCCGCGGUAAUAC